rnacentral:tRNA from 1 species
GCCUUCGUGGUGUAGUGGUCAGCACGUUCGACGCAUAUUCGAGACGUCCAUAGUUCGAGUCCAGGCGAGGGCA